rnacentral:rRNA from 1 species
AUUGAACGCUGGCGGCAGGCCUAACACAUGCAAGUCGAACGGCAGCGGGGGAUAGCUUGCUAUCCUGCCGGCGAGUGGCGGACGGGUGAGUAAUGCAUGGGGAGCUGCCCAAUCGAGGGGGAUAACAACUGGAAACGGUUGCUAAUACCGCAUACGCCCUGCGGGGGAAAGGUGGGGACCUACGGGCCUACCGCGAUUGGAUGCACCCAUGUGGGAUUAGCUGGUUGGUGAGGUAACGGCUCACCAAGGCGACGAUCUCUAGCUGGUCUGAGAGGAUGACCGGCCACACUGGAACUGAGACACGGUCCAGACUCCUGCGGGAGGCAGCAGUGGGGAAUAUUGCACAAUGGGGGAAACCCUGAUGCAGCCAUGCCGCGUGUGUGAAGAAGGCCUUCGGGUUGUAAAGCACUUUUAGUGGGGAGGAAGGGGAGUAAGCUAAUAACUUGCUUCAUUGACGUUACCCACAGAAGAAGCACCGGCUAACUCCGUGCCAGCAGCCGCGGUAA